rnacentral:rRNA from 1 species
GACGAACGCUGGCGGCGUGCUUAACGCAUGCAAGUCGAACGGAAAGGCCCUGCUUUUGUGGGGUGCUCGAGUGGCGAACGGGUGAGUAACACGUGAGUAACCUGCCCUUGACUUUGGGAUAACUUCAGGAAACUGGGGCUAAUACCGGAUAGGAGCCCCUGCUGCAUGGUGGGGGUUGGAAAGUUUCGGCGGUUGGGGAUGGACUCGCGGCUUAUCAGCUUGUUGGUGGGGUAGUGGCUUACCAAGGCUUUGACGGGUAGCCGGCCUGAGAGGGUGACCGGCCACAUUGGGACUGAGAUACGGCCCAGACUCCUACGGGAGGCAGCAGUGGGGAAUAUUGCACAAUGGGCGGAAGCCUGAUGCAGCAACGCCGCGUGCGGGAUGACGGCCUUCGGGUUGUAAACCGCUUUCGCCUGUGACGAAGCGUGAGUGACGGUAAUGGGUAAAGAAGCACCGGCUAACUACGUG